UACAGAGGUGGCAAGCGUUGUUCGGAAUUACUGGGCGUAAAGGGCGUGUAGGCGGCCCUCUAAGUCAGACGUGAAAUCCCCCGGCUUAACCUGGGAACUGCGUCUGAUACUGGGGGGCUAGAGUAUGGGAGAGGGAUGUAGAAUUCCAGGUGUAGCGGUGAAAUGCGUAGAUAUCUGGAGGAAUACCGGUGGCGAAGGCGGCUUCCUGGACCGACACUGACGCUGAGGCGCGAAAGCUAGGGGAGCAAACGGG
rnacentral:rRNA from 1 species